UAAAACGUAGGAGGCAAGCGUUAUCCGGAUUUACUGGGCGUAAAGGGCGUGUAGGUGGUUAGGAAAGUUGGCUGUGAAAGCUCCUGGCUCAACUGGGAGAGGUCAGUCAAAACUACCUGACUUGAGGGUCGGAGAGGGGUGUGGAAUUCCCGGUGUAGCGGUGGAAUGCUUAGAAUCGGGAGGAACACCAGUGGCGAAGGCGACACCCUGGCCGACAACUGACACUGAAGCGCGAAAGCGUGGGGAGCAAACAGGAUUAGAUACCCUGGUAGUCCACGCUGUAAACGAUGAUGACUGGGUGUGGGAGGUAUUGAACCCUUCCGUGCCGAAGCAAACGCGAUAAGUCAUCCGCCUGGGGAGUACGGCCGCAAGGUU
rnacentral:rRNA from 1 species